UACGUAGGCAGCAAGCGUUGUUCGGAUUUACUGGGCGUAAAGGGCGCGUAGGCGGCUUGUCAAGUCACUUGUGAAAUCUCUGGGCUUAACCCAGAACGGCCAAGUGAAACUGACAUGCUAGAGUGCAGAAGGGGCAAUCGGAAUUCUUGGUGUAGCGGUGAAAUGCGUAGAUAUCAAGAGGAACACCUGAGGUGAAGACGGGUUGCUGGGCUGACACUGACGCUGAGGCGCGAAAGCCAGGGGAGCAAACGGG
rnacentral:rRNA from 1 species